rnacentral:tRNA from 1 species
GGGCGCAUAGCUCAGUCGGUAGAGCAGCUGACUCUUAAUCAGCGGGUCCCAGGUUCGAGUCCUGGUGCGCCCACCA